rnacentral:lncRNA from 1 species
AGUGCAUACAAGAGCAAAUGAAUUGCUGACAGAUUUCUACUAAGAGCAGAAAAGCACGAGAUAAAGAAAUUCCAUAUGAAUUUCUUUGUUAUUUGUUCUUAAAGGCAGCAACACAGUGAGAUUUCUCUCACAGAUGCCUUGAGCAUCCAAAGCCACAAACAAGCAUCAAAGGAAGAAUAGCCGAUGAUGUAGGCGAGAACCCACCAAGAGGCCU